AUUGGGAUGAUGAAGAAAAAUCAGACGGCUUCCCAUUGAUUUUUCAAAAUGAUGUUUACUACCAGCUACUUCUGACCAAU
rnacentral:snoRNA from 1 species